GUCGGGUUGGGGAUGAAGCGGUUGACCCGGUCGCCGAUUAUCACCUGAGUGUGCCGGCCGUCGGUAACCAAUUGCACACCGCGUCUGCGGAACUUCUU
rfam:Mycobacterium ulcerans str. Harvey Harvey.contig.164, whole genome shotgun sequence.